CAAGAGUGGUAAUUUAUCGUAGAACGAACAUAUUAUAAUAUUGGAUUUUAAUAGAAAGCUACAUGAAUUUACCUUCUUAUCCUUGCUUGACUCCACUGAUGCGGUGAUGCGGAACGGCCGGGUUGGCCCGUGGCGACCUAGCGCCCCUCCUGCCAGCUCCUCCCAUAGCACCCCCGUCGUGGACAGCGCUUCUCCCAUGGCAGACAGCCACACCUGGCAUCAGCCCCUCUCAGUGAGCGGACAGACCGGCCUGCAGCUUGGCCGGCGCUCCCCAUGUGGCACACGAGGGAGGAGCAGACCGGCCGGCGGCAUACGGCUUGACAUAUGGCUGUGAAGAUGUCGGAGACGUCGACGAGGAGGUCCGACAGCGCGCCGUGGAGGUCGAUGAUCUUGAAGAGCUUCUCAGAGGAUCUACGGCCGAUGCAGAUAGUCUCGGCAAAGCUGAAAAGCUGUAGCGCGGCGCCCUUGAUGGCCUUGGCGAAAGGGAUGUCGUGUCUGGCAGGCGCGGCAGUGGCAGAGACGGUGCUGCUGGAGAUGGGAAGGUCAUGGAAGAUGUGGAAGCAGAGGCGGUGCUCGCUGGCAAAGAGGCCACAGACGGUGGCACGGGCUGCGUGGAUCCAGCGUCGAAUCUUGGCCUGGAGCGUGUCCCACUCGAGGCGUUGGUCACCGAUGCUGAGGUGCUCGAUGUAGAGACGGCGCAGGGAGGCGUCGACGAAGGGGUUGGGGAUGGAGGCGUAGACCUGAACGCAUUCAUGGCCAUACCUGGCGGUGGCAACACGGAACGCAAUGGCGCGGAGCUCAGCGACGGCGACGUCGGGGAGGAGGUAUACAUGAAAAAAAUAGAAAAGAGAGGAAAUACAUCUAAUAGUAUGAAAAACAAGUUGCACAUGUUUGUAGUUCCAUUUUUGCGAAGUUAAAGAUAGUUAUGGUAAAA